GAUGAACGCUGGCGGCGUGCCUAAUACAUGCAAGUCGAGCGAACAGAUAAGGAGCUUGCUCCUUUGACGUUAGCGGCGGACGGGUGAGUAACACGUGGGUAACCUACCUAUAAGACUGGAAUAACUCCGGGAAACCGGGGCUAAUGCAGGAUAACAUGUUGAACCGCAUGGUUCUACAGUGAAAGGCGGCUUUGCUGUCACUUAUAGAUGGACCCGCGCCGUAUUAGCUAGUUGGUGAGGUAACGGCUCACCAAGGCAACGAUACGUAGCCGACCUGAGAGGGUGAUCGGCCACACUGGAACUGAGACACGGUCCAGACUCCUACGGGAGGCAGCAGUAGGGAAUCUUCCGCAAUGGGCGAAAGCCUGACGGAGCGACGCCGCGUGAGUGAUGAAGGUCUUCGGAUCGUAAAACUCUGUUAUCAGGGAAGAACAAAUGCGUAAGUAACUGUGCGCGUCUUGACGGUACCUAAUCAGAAAGCCACGGCUAACUACGUG
rnacentral:rRNA from 1 species